UAAAUUGAGGCCGAAUAUCUAGGCGCUUAGCUGUUAACUAAGAGAUAGUGGGAUAAAGGCCCAUCAAUUUAG
rnacentral:tRNA from 1 species